AGACGCGAAAGCGUGGGGAGCUAACAGGAUUAGAUACCCUGGUAGUCCACGCCGUAAACGAUGGACACUAGGUGUGGGGGGUGUCGACUCCCUCCGUGCCGAAGCUAACGCAUUAAGUGUCCCGCCUGGGGAGUACGGCCGCAAGGCUAAAACUCAAAGGAAUUGACGGGGGCCCGCACAAGCAGCGGAGCAUGUGGUUUAAUUGGACGCAACGCCAAGAACCUUACCUGGGCUUGACAUGUUCCUGACCGCCCUGGAAACAGGGCUUCCCUUCGGGGCAGGAUCACAGGUGGUGCAUGGCUGUCGUCAGCUCGUGUCGUGAGAUGUUGGGUUAAGUCCCGCAACGAGCGCAACCCUCGUCGCAUGUUGCCAGCAUUUAGUUGGGGACUCAUGCGAGACUGCCGGUGACAAACCGGAGGAAGGCGGGGAUGACGUCAAGUCAUCAUGCCCCUUAUGUCCAGGGCUACACACGUGCUACAUUGGCGCGUACAGAGGGCUGCGAUACCGCGAGGUGGAGCGAAUCCCUCAAAGCGCGUCUCGGUUCGGAUUGCAGGCUGAAACUCGCCUGCAUGAAGGCGGAGUU
rnacentral:rRNA from 1 species